GAUGAACGCUGGCGGCGUGCCUAAUACAUGCAAGUCGAGCGAACGGACGAGAAUCUUGCUUUUCUGAUGUUAGCGGCGGACGGGUGAGUAACACGUGGAUAACCUACCUAUAAGACUGGGAUAACUUCGGGAAACCGGAGCUAAUACCGGAUAAUAUUUUGAACCGCAUGGUUCAAAAGUGAAAGACGGUCUUGCUGUCACUUAUAGAUGGAUCCGCGCUGCAUUAGCUAGUUGGUAAGGUAACGGCUUACCAAGGCAACGAUGCAUAGCCGACCUGAGAGGGGGAUCGGCCACACUAGAACUGAGACACGGUCCAGACUCCUACGGGAGGCAGCAGUAGGGAAUCUUCCGCAAUGGGCGAAAGCCUGACGGAGCAACGCCGCGUGAGUGAUGAAGGUCUUCGGAUCGUAAAACUCUGUUAUUAGGGAAGAACAUAUGUGUAAGUAACUGUGCACAUCUUGACGGUACCUAAUCAGAAAGCCACGGCUAACUACGUG
rnacentral:rRNA from 1 species